CGAAGAUGUCGCUGACGUCGCCGACGACGUCGUCGCCGCGCUUGCUUCGACUUUGUCGCGGAAGCUUCAAGAGAGAACACUUCCUCGCGAGAUCGAUGCAACAGGAGGCGAGCCUUGCGAAUGUUAAAGCGAAUGGCGGAAAUUCACUCGAAUGUGCAGAGCGGAAAAUACGUAAAAAAUGCAACAUUAAAUGCGGGGAUCGUCUACCUAAAAAAAAAAAAAAAAAAAAAAAAA